UUUGGUUGAGUUUGGACGCGUCAGUGCGGUUUCUCCGUUCCCGAACAAUAAAAGUACCUACAAACAACUUCCAAGCUGAAACCAACAAAAGGGGAACAUAUUGAUACAAGUACUUCACAUUUGGAACAAAAAUUAUUAACAAGUACUGGAAGUGUUUGGUUUCCGCUGUGAGAGGACAUUGUUGUUUGCAAGGGCGUGUGUUCGUUUGAAAUGUUAAUUCCCUACAAGUGAUUUGUAUAUUUAACGGAAAUCGGUGGUAGGAUUGUGAUUGCGUUUUUUUUUGUUUAAAUCUUUUUAUCACAUCAAUUUGAGUGAUAGCAUAAAGCUGAAGGAAGGAAGUGUGUUGAUUCCGUUCAGGAAACAUACUCGCGAGUGUUUUGUGUGUUCUGCUGAGGAAAGUCCGAAAUCAGUAAGACCUUCCAUUUUCCUUUUUCUCAUUUCCUACAACGACCAAAGAAUUGCUGCUGUGUAACAGAAUAUACGAACUAGCUUCUGCUCUAUGCGAGUUGUUGGGGUGUACCAGAGUAUAGCUUUCAUCACAUUUCCCUUUAUUCUGUGUAAAAGCCGUUUAUCCAUUUUGUUCUAUUCGGCCAAUCGGUCUGUUUGUCAUUACAUCUUCUUACUAGAAGAGCAAAAGUGAGAGAAACCAGAGAGUGUUCACGAGCAUUAAAGAAUAGAGAGAGCCCUUUUCGUGACAGCUGCUUCUACUUCACUCCCUUGAAGUGGCGUUUAUGGCAUUUAUGUGGAUUACGAGCUAAAGAAACGCACUCUCCCCGGUGAAUGUGUGUGCGUGAUAGAAUCUCCCAACAAAAACGAAGGGGUGGUGAGCGAGCAUAACUUGGAGCAGCAAGGCAGUAAACAAUAACCUCCCUGGGAACUGUCAAAAAAUAAAGAGGAAAAAAGCUAGCAGCAGCAGCUAAGCUCUUCUAUAAAGAGACACUUAACUUAGCUGAAACUAGUUGGGGCUGGCUGAAGUGUGUUUAAGCAUAUUUUCAAUUUUUUGUUGUCCCCAAAAAAUGGUGGUGUGUCAGUGGUGAUCUAACAAAGUAGCAUAGCCUCGGAUCGGGGCAGCAGCAGGGGUGGAAAGUGUUCAGUGCCUGGAGGGACAACCUGGGACCAGAAUCCAGAACUCCCCGGAUUGAGCUGACUGCGGAGACACCGUAACCAGUUAACCAAGUUAACCACAAUCGAAAGAUUCUCGACUACUCUUUGGUGGUGAUGUUGUUGGGCUCCUGAGUUUGGAUAUCCCGGAAACAGCUGGAAUCCAAAGCAGGAAAUUUCCAAAAGUUUGCUUCCUAUUUCGAACCAGAAAAUUUCGGAGUGUUGUCACCGGCAAAAAGAAGACAAAAAAAACCCUAAACAACCGAGAGCUAGCUAGCUCAUCCCAGGGCCCAACGAUUUUCUGGUUUCCAGCAAAAAAAAACCUCCCCCAAAAAUACUCCCAGGUGUGCACUCGUAAAACCCUGCUGCUUGGCGGCGCGUAGGUAGAGAAAAAGGUCGUAAAAUUUUGAAACCGCAACCGAGAACAGAGCAGAGGCAACAAAAAUUAUUCCAACGCCAAACGAAAUCCAAACCCCUCGUGAGGAAGUGCGGCGUCGUGAAAGUCAUCGGUAUUUUUUUCUCCUUAGUUGGUCCGGAGCGCGUCGUGUGUUAUUGUUUUGAAACAGCACCUUGGCGCAUUUAAAAAUUGUCAUUAUUUAAUUGCUCAUCCGAGUUGUUUCGGAGUUGAAGCGAGUGAAGUGGUUCCAUUCUUUUUGGUUCAAGCUCAGUGACAAUUGUGCUACCGGAAUCGAAAUCGCAGGAAAAGUGUUUGUUGGAAGUGUCGAGUUAGGAGCCAAAGUGUGUUCCGUGUCUUGUUUUCUUCUUGGUUUCGAUUAGUGAUCUGUGUUUUGUGUGUUUAGCCUAUCCGUAGGCUUAUUGAAAAAAAGAGGCCCGUUUAAAGUUUUUGCUUUGGGUAUAGCUCGAAUGCGGAGCUAGUUAACAACCCCACAACCCCUCCUCGCAGAAGAAAUAAAAGUUAAAAAAAAUCAAUUGAGGGUGUAGGAAAAGGCAAAUUUUCAAAGGAAGCUUCGUGACCGCGUGCGUGUUCUCGAAGCAGCAAGCAAGAAGAAAAAAAUCUCCAAAAGUCCAACCCCCCGGCCCGGCCAACAUUGAAUGGCGGCUGUCGGUGGUCCGACCAGGCAAUCGCGCGGGGUCUCUAUGAGUGUGUCGAUGUCGCUGGUACAGGGUGGUGCAGCUGGGGCGGCCGGCCCACAGGGUGCGAUUCUGGCGGCGGCCGCGCCCUACUAUCAACCCCCGGCGGUCCCGCAGGACGUCCAGCCGGAUCGGCCCAUCGGUUACGGCGCCUUCGGAGUAGUAUGGGCUGUCACAGAUCCACGAGAUGGUCGACGGGUUGCGCUCAAGAAACUGCCAAAUGUGUUCCAGUCACUUGUGUCAUCGAAACGUGUGUUCCGGGAGCUUAAAAUGCUGUGCUUUUUCAAGCAUGAGAACGUAUUAUCAGCACUCGACAUCCUGCAGCCACCUCAUCUGGAUUUUUUCCAAGAAAUAUACGUGAUCACAGAACUGCUCCAGUCGGAUUUGCACAAAAUCAUCGUCUCACCACAGCACCUAUCGGCCGACCACAUCAAAGUAUUCCUGUACCAGAUCCUGCGGGGCCUCAAGUAUCUGCACUCGGCGCGGAUCCUGCACCGGGACAUCAAACCGGGCAACCUGCUGGUUAACAGUAAUUGUGUUCUGAAGAUUUGCGAUUUCGGUCUGGCCCGAGUCGAGGAACCGGACCAGUCGAAACACAUGACCCAGGAAGUGGUCACUCAGUACUAUCGGGCACCGGAAAUCCUGAUGGGCGCUCGGCACUACUCAGCUGCGGUGGACGUUUGGUCUGUGGGUUGUAUAUUCGGAGAACUGUUGGGCAGGAGAAUCCUCUUCCAGGCGCAAAGCCCAGUGCAACAGCUGGAACUUAUCACAGAACUUCUAGGAACGCCAACCCUGGAAGAUAUGCGACACGCCUGCGAAGGAGCCAGAUCCCACAUGAUCCGGAGAGCUCCCAAACCGCCAUCUCUAUCCGCACUGUACACUCUCAGCAACCAUGCCACUCACGAGGCGGUGCACUUACUCUGCCAGAUGCUAGUCUUCGACCCGGACAAGAGAAUAUCGGUCAUCGAUGCACUGGCGCAUCCGUACGUGGACGAGGGCCGGCUUCGCUACCAUUCCUGCAUGUGCAAGUGCUGCUACACCCCGUCGGCCGGGAUGCGCCAGUAUGCUGCGGAGUUUGAACCGUCGGCCGCCCAACCCUUCGACGACAUCUGGGAACGGAAGCUGACCUCGGUGCAACAAGUGAAAGAGGAAAUGCACAAAUUCAUUGCCGAACAGCUGCAAACGGGCCGCGUGCCCCUAUGUAUAAACCCCCAGAGUGCAGCAUUUAAAAGUUUUGCCAGUAUCGUCAACAACAGCAAUAACAAUCAUCCGCCAUCACCAUCAUCAAACUAUCACCAACAGUAGCUCUAGAGAGAGAGAAAAAGAUGGGAGAAAUAGAGAGUUGUGUGUAAACUUUUGGAAGAUUGCUAGAAAAUUGCCCCGGUACCGAAAAAAAACGCAAAACGAUUAGGGUCGUUCCUAGUCCACCAAAAUAGAGAAAGAGAAAAAAAACCAACAACACACAAUGUACCGAAAACGACCUUCUGCGUCCGGGAAAAACCUACUCGUUGAACGCUAAUUUUCCGUAAGAAAAAUUACCGACAUUACCGUGAACCUGAGAAAACAUGAGACAAAGAAUGAGAUACUGAAAGAGAGAGACAGAGAGGGACUACUUAUAGAAACGCACAGGUUGUGCCCUAGCUCAACCGUAGCCCAUCCCUCAGAGCUUCCACCUUCGCCACACCAAUGGGAAUGACAUAAUGAAGCGAUGGCAGCCUGAAAUUUGUAAGAUUGCCAACCGGUAACUUCGGCUUGGAAAUCUCUCAAUCAUUGGAACAACAACAAAACGACGAGUUUUUGGAAAAGAUGGAUUGGCUUCAAAGGAAAUUUGUGGAAAAAAUAUCAACAAAAAAAAAAUAAAAUUAAUUAUAAGUUCAGUGCUGUCAUUAAAAAUAGGGAUAAGGAUCCCAAAAGCAAAACUUAAAAAAAAAUACAAAUAAAAAAAAACAACAAAAAACGAACGGAGAAACGUGAGAUUGACAACCUUAACCAAAAUCGGAAGACGAUAACAAUUUCGUUCACCUACUUGUGGAACGAAGUUAUGAAACAAGGUUGAAACAGAAUCAUGUUUCGACGGAGACGAUCAAUGAAAAAUUUCAUUUUUCAUGAAAACGGAAAGACAGAAGGAAUAAUGUAUGCAUCAACAAUUGCAGAACGAGGAAAAUGAAAUAACUAGUCGUCCGAUGCAAAAUUGGAAACGUGGAAAACUUGGAAAAACUAGAAGAAGGUGGCCAUUGGAAAACUAAAAAGCCGGGGAUUCUAACUCUUCCAAGCAAAGCCUCAACCGACGGUAGCCAGAGCAUUUUGAUCGGACAGCUCAGCCCUAUAGGACUACCUACUACUACGACUAGUACCAUCAGAUAACAACCUUCAAGCGCAUUAAGUGUGUAGACCAAUUUUAAUUUCUACUGUAUUUAAGUUAAGCUACUGUGUAUUUGUCUCUAUUGUGUCCCCCUCCCUUGGGAAACGGUGAAAAUCCUUUUUCACACGAGAAAAAAAAACGAAUAAAAUGUAUGCGUUUGAGUUAAGCUUACUCAAUAGCCGAAAUGUGGUAAAAUCAUACUGAAACCUUUAGUAAAGGUAUUUUAUUUAGGCGACACAAUACUUGGGGAGAUUUAAAGAGAUCGAAAAGAGAAUAUUUAGUAUGGUUAUAAUCAAAAUACAAAAAAACUAUGAUUUCUUCGUUUCAACUCUCUGAUACUUUGGGGGAAAACACCGACAUAAAAAUACAACUGCCGUAAGAUGUUUAUUAUUAUAGACUCGCUUUGAUUAAGAUGAUCAGUUGAAGAGAAGAGUGCAUGCAAAGUAAAUGAGCAUGAUUAAGAGGGUGUGAUUGUGUGAAUAAUCCUUGGAAAAAUUCUUCUUAAAGAAAUCAAGCAGUGGAACGAAUACAGAUUUAUUAAUUGGAAGGUGUCGAAUGCUUCUUUCUACUCACUUGCAGUUUCCUGAAAAGCCAUAUUUUAUAGAAAUCUUUCUAAAAGGUCAAACAAAAAAUAUCAUAAAUUGACGUUAAGGGCAAAAAAUCUUUUCUUUCAUAACCCAAACUCAAAGUAAUUUUUUUCAAUCCAAACUUUACUUUCAACGCGCUCAACACACUUUCCCUAAUCCAAUCUGCUUCAAAAACGAAAAUACCAAAAUUAUGUUGGUGGGGUACGUUUAAAAAAUAACUAUUAUUUUAAAAACAAAACAGAACUGAUUAAAGUCCUUUGUUGCAAACCUCUAGUGAAGCACAAAGGGCUGAUAGGAAUAAACCUUAGGAAAACCUGUACAUAUUUGCUCUUAAGUUUCAUAGGAUCCCAUUAAGUUACACCACACUGAUGAUGGACUCAAUUCAAGUCCACAAGCUGUAAAUAGACCUUUUUUCAACUUACUUAAUUUCAUUAAACUAAAAUUUUUGAUCCUUUUGCUUUCGACUUUGAAAUUUGUCUCUAUUUUUAAGAUCGUAAAAUCCCUACAAUCAUAUGUUCACGCACUGAACGAGAGAACAAUAAGAUUUAAAAGGAAUCAACCACCAAAAGGUUGGAAAUAUGUGUUCACACUCUGCAAGCAACAACAUAAAACCAUCGGUUUUCGAAACCCUAGGAACAAGAUUCAAGAAAAUCAUACUCACAGACAGAGAAGAGAUCCAAGAAAGGGGUAACAGCAGCUAUUCAGCACAGAUGAAUGAAAUUUUAACAAGAAGGUUAAAUUGAAUGUGAAAAAGUUGGAAAAAGGGAGGAAGUAAAGAUUUAGAAAAAAACAAGUAAGAUGAUAGUAGGAAAAUCUUAGACAAAACAAAAGGCAAUUGCAUUAGUCAAGUUUAGGAGAGAGUAAACAAAUGAUUAAACGAAAUCUUUCACCAAGAUCUCAUUAAAUUUUCGCAUCAUUUAUGUAAUUUAUUUCAAUAACCAAAUUUCGCUCCGGGAAUGACCAGGACCAUGCUGCACAGCAUAAGUAAGGCAAAUAGAGGAAAAAAUCGGUCGAAAACGGACAAACUCACAGUUUUCCAAGUCUGCUGCAGCAAACGAGUGAACAUAAGACAACCGCAGAGGAACAUGAAUUAGUUUUUGCAUUAUUUAAGUUUGAUUUUCCCUUCACCGGAAGUGCUGAGCGAAAUGGUUUAUUUCCCCUACACUUGAUGAAAUUUGAAGAAGAAAAAUAUACAAGAAAUGAAACGUAUGCAAAUGCAAUUCAUUAUACUUUUGAGAGGGGAAAUUGUGUGAAAGUCUACGGUUGUCAUGUAAGAUAGAAAAGAAAACUGACUGUGUGCAGCUUACCCUUUGACCCAGAAAAGAGGAAAUGGUAAUUCAGAACUCAAGAAAAUAAAUUGAUCAACUCGUUUUGAAACAAUGCUUAACAUUGGGUAAAGUUAGAGAAAAAGAAAACAGAUAGUUUCUAGUGCAAAAAAUAAUACCUAUAUCUAAAGAAACAUGAUCAACUGGUGUGAUUCAAUAAAAUAGUAACAAUUUACUGUGUAAAACUGUAGCAAGAUGCAAGCCAAGUAGUAGUUUGUAAGUAAAGAACAUAAGCAGCUGUAGAAAGAAUAAAAACUGACCAAUUCCACAGUUUAGAAAACACCAUCAUUUUUUAAAGUUUAAGAACUUAAAAGCGUGGAAUGGAAAAUCGAAAGCUUUACAAGGCGUAUGGAAAAAGUAACGCCCCAGACGGUGUUUCGAACAUCCUUCAUCCAAGACACAACCCAAAACGCGGUGUCGAAUCAGUACCGUUUUUGACACCUUUGUGGCGCUAGCGUCAUCUGGAAGAACGCGUUUCAUUUAUACCGCCGCUAUCCAACUGAUAGUGAAAAAAUAACUAAAUUAGAAAAAAAAAAACAAGAACGAUGAGAUAAGACUUGAUUUAGAUUGAUUUAAAUUGAAUUGACUAAACACACUAAAGAAACGAAUCCCCUGUAUAGUAGUAGUUUUAAGUUAAAAACCUCUCCUUUUCUAGAACAAAAAAGUUGAAAGAGAGAACUGCAAUAUUGCAUUUCUCAACCAUCAACUAGUAGCAGCUCAUUUUUUGAGUUUACUCCCAAUUCAAAGUACUGACAAACGGUAAACCAUCACUGCGCGUUCAUUGAAUCAAGACUUCUAUAGUACGAUAUUUUAGUUACAAACCCAGCUGCAAAAGAUAAAACACGAAAAAAAUCUCCCCUCUACGAGAAAAACAAAACUAUUUGGCGAAGAAAAUUUGAAACCUACCAUCUAUCUCUACUUUCCUAAGAAUUCAAAAGAAAACAGAAGAAAAAAAUCAUGUGUCUGUCCUAGGUAACUAGCAAUACGAGAAGGAUGUAAUGUGUAAAAAGGAUUUGUAAAAAAUAGUAAAUCGAAAAUGCACUUUAAACAAACGAAUC